rnacentral:tRNA from 1 species
CAGGGAGACAACAAAAUGUAAAUAUUAAUUUUGUCACCUUAGGUCGAUCGGUAUCUCAGAUUCUUAAUUUAUUUAAGAAUUUCAGUUUCUAAGUUUUUUCUAGGUCACACCCAUUACUUUUCCUGGGCCAUUAGCUCAGGUGGUUAGAGCGCACCCCUGAUAAGGGUGAGGUCCCUGGUUCAAGUCCAGGAUGGCCCAUACUCUAUGUUGGGGGUAUAGCUCAGUUGGUAGAGCGCCUGCUUUGCAAGCAGGAUGUCAGCGGUUCGAGUCCGCUUACCUCCACUGAAUACCACCUCUUUCAUAAUUGCAUUUAAGGAAAUUGUAUUGAGAUGUGUUCUAUUCAAUCUGAACGAAUCUAGCUUCCUAAUUAAUUGAUAAAUUCAUUAAGAUGCUGGACUCAUUGAAUUCUAUUCAUUGAUUUCAGAGAACCUUGACAACUGCAUAGAUUAUUUUUGAAGACAAUAAGCAUCUUUUAAUGAUGCAGAUUUUUUAUUUGUGCUAAUGCAUUAAUAACAAUUCUAUUGAGCUGAUGCUUCAA